rnacentral:rRNA from 1 species
GACGAACGCUGGCGGCGUGCUUAACACAUGCAAGUCGAACGGAAAGGCCAGUGCUUGCACUGGUACUCGAGUGGCGAACGGGUGAGUAACACGUGGGUGAUCUGCCUUGCACUCUGGGAUAAGCUUGGGAAACUGGGUCUAAUACCGGAUAUGAACUGCCUUUAGUGUGGUGGUUGGAAAGUUUUUUCGGUGCAAGAUGAGCUCGCGGCCUAUCAGCUUGUUGGUGGGGUAAUGGCCUACCAAGGCGUCGACGGGUAGCCGGCCUGAGAGGGUGUACGGCCACAUUGGGACUGAGAUACGGCCCAGACUCCUACGGGAGGCAGCAGUGGGGAAUAUUGCACAAUGGGCGGAAGCCUGAUGCAGCGACGCCGCGUGGGGGAUGACGGCCUUCGGGUUGUAAACUCCUUUCGACAGGGACGAAGCGCAAGUGACGGUACCUGUAUAAGAAGCACCGGCUAACUACGUGCCAGCAGCCGCGGUAAUACGUAGGGUGCGAGCGUUGUCCGGAAUUACUGGGCGUAAAGAGCUCGUAGGUGGUUUGUCGCGUCGUCUGUGAAAUUCCGGGGCUUAACUUCGGGCGUGCAGGCGAUACGGGCAUAACUUGAGUGCUGUAGGGGAGACUGGAAUUCCUGGUGUAGCGGUGAAAUGCGCAGAUAUCAGGAGGAACACCGAUGGCGAAGGCAGGUCUCUGGGCAGUUACUGACGCUGAGGAGCGAAAGCAUGGGUAGCAAACAGG